GUAUAGAAAGAAAGAAAGAAGUUCAUAAGAAACUACCACCUCCAGCCAGUGUCACUUUUUUUCCACCAACAGAGCAGUAAUCUGAGGGACUUUAGAUCUCCAGAGUACAGCAAUUAGACAGGGUAAGAGCUUGCUAUUCACAGAGUUCCUCCUUCAGCUCCAGUGGUGUAAAGCUAGCUCCUGCUACAUGGAAAAAUUGCUCCAGCACAUGCAAAAAGUAAAAUUCAAGAAGCUUGGAUUUAUUUGAAGUAACACCAACAUAGGUCUGGGAUGCUUCCAUUAACAGCACUGCAGUCAUGCUCUGUUUCUAAAAGGAUAUCUAAAGAACCAUGAGGAAUUUACACCCAUACUCUCUCACAGAGCUUGCAAUA